CAACAACACAGUAACCGGAUGAAAUUAAAUACCAAAAGCAACACAGUUUUUAGUUAAAAAAUAUGGGAUCCUUAAUAUGAUUUCAAGGUUUCAUGGAGCUAUAAUCACGAAGAAUGUUAAGGUGUGUAUUCGUAAUCUUUCCACGUCGAGUUUUGGGCUUCUUUUGUUUAGGCGUUUGAUUAUGACCAGCACGCUUUACGGUUGAAGGAUCCACGCUAGUGGGCUUUAAACCGUAUUUUCCAAGUUCAGAAGCUAAAUCCAAAGUGGGUGGAAUGGGAAUCUCAUGCCAAACUUGUUGAAACUCCUUAUCGACAUGACAAUCGCAGCUCUUGUCAUUUCUCCAUACCAUUUUAGGAACGCCAUCCUUCCUUGUACGUAAUAAAAGCACUUCUCCCUGUUUUUCUAGUUCUUCAAGUUCAACAGUAACGUUGGGCCAUCCGUCUCGAAGCUCUUUGAUACUCAUACCAACGUGGGUUUUUUGUGAAUCUAAAUAUGCUAAUAAACCUGCUCCUGAGCGAAUGUUAUGCAAUGGCUUAAAGGUAAACGUUUCAUUUCUUUCAUCAUAAUAAAUGCGAUUAUUUUUCUUCAAAAGAUUGAGUAACAUAGGAGUCAAUGGAGUUGACAGGUAAGAAGCAAUUUCCUCAGCCGUUUUAGGCUCAUUUCUCUCUUUUAAAUACUCAACUGCAUAGUGUAGCUGUGAUAAAUAAUGCGUUCCAACACCAGAAUCAGCGGGUUGCGAGUAAACCAAAGACGUCUUUGAGCGCUUUUUCUUCAGGGAAUACGACCCUGGACUUGAAGCGGCAGAAGAAUGUCCAUCAUUUGAAUUCAAAUAAGCUGUUGGAGUCGGAGAAGCUGGUUGACGAGGUUGAGGUUUUGCAUAAAUAGGUUGAUUUGCGACUUUCUUUUUAAACGAAGAUAAUUGAUCGCUUAGUGAACUCAUAGCCUUAAAAGUAGUUGUUAGCUUGUCGGAAAUGAAACUAUCAAACGGUGGGCAAAUUCUGUUCAAAAUUAUGACCCAAGGCUUUGUUAACAAAAUCGAACUUAUAGACCGACAACCUUGUAAAAAAAUAGAAAACAAACAAAAUAU